AAAGGAAGGCCCUGCAGCAGAACGAUCUCGUAAGUCUGAUAAUCUUGGUCUGAUUAAUUUAGUGUUUUCCUGUUCAAAUGGGAUUUGGUGGUCCUCAAGGAAAAAAACACUGGAAUUGGUGAAAGCACACGGGAACGUGCUGCGAAUAGGCUGGCAAGAUUGUAGGGGUGCAGCAGAAGAAACACGUCGAGGAAUUAAUCUCCAUUUUUUACCUGCCAAUCAAAAUUAGAGUAGCAUCCUUGAACAACAGGUAAUAGCAGCAGCAACAACAACAAAAAUAAAUAAGCAAAAUGGAGGAUUUCACCCAGGAUAAAUUUCUCUCAGGAAGAGAAGAAGGAAUCACAGUCAGUCUCUGCAAGAGAUCACCACCAUCUUUGUGACUUAUGUGAAAAAGAAUAUCAAGGAGGAAGCCUUUGUAGAAGAGUGUUCCAUGUGAAGCUUUCCUGACAUAGGACAAAAAAAGACCUAUAUGCCAUACAGACUGGAAGCAUUACAACAGGAACUUUGUUUUCCCAUGAAAAGCAAAUGGUAUUUUUCCUUCAACUAUAGUGGCUCCAGAAAUGUCAGUAUAGGAAGCCUUCAGCCAGCGGACUGCAUUUCUUUUCAAAAGCAUAAGGUUAGUGAGUGUGGUGAGAAUCAUUAGGAGCUUGUAAGUCUGAAGGAACCUCAGAUCCAUCUGCUGGACUAUUUGCUCAAUGACUCACAGGAGGGUGAAAGGUUGAAUUACCUUCAUUCAAGAAAAUAGAUAGUUCUUUCCAAGACUCCAUGCAUCGAAGUGAUUGAUCCCUUCUACAAACAGACCCUGAAAUUGGCUUCCAAGACAUUAUAAAUUCCCCAGAGGAUGAAGACAUAAUCUGAAUGUGCAGAAGACUUCGAAGACUUCUCUUGCCUGCAGGUCAGAAAUCUUUUAUUGGCAGUAGAUAAAACAAGAUACCAGUAUCAAGAGGCAUUAAAAAUGUAUCAUCAAAAUCUUGUGUUGAUAAAAAUCCAAAGUAAUACAGAUGUAUUACAAGAGAGGGAAGAUUUUUUUAUUAUUAUUUCCAUUUCAAAAUGUUAUUUUAAGAAAAUUCAAUAAUAAUUAUAAUAGCAUAUGGUAAUGGAUAAAGACGGAAUUCUGGGAGGGAAACGGUAAAAUAACUUCAGAGCACCUCGUGUGUUAAGAAGUGGUUGUUUUUUCUGUUUUGUAGGUGGGGAAAUGUUUUUCUGAAUCCCACUGACACUAAGUAGAAAUGCAGUAAGCAGUACGGUACUACAUUGAACAAUUAUGGAAGUAGUAGCUGAAAAUGCAGAAAAAUAUAUGAUUCAUUCUGACUGCUUGGCUGAGCAUGGCUAAAAGCUUUGCCUGAUCCUAUGCAGCCAGCGCUGCAGACUGGAUCAAAAUUCUAGUUUUAUCAAAACUAAUGAAUAUCUGAAUAAAUUAAUUAUAUUUUAUUUUAUGAAUAUGUAAUUUUUUACAAAUAAGUAAACUCUGAUUUUCAAAAAUCUUUUUUUCCUCACGUUGUUUGUGAAUUUCCAAUGUUUUUAAGCAAUAGAAAUACAGUAACAUUGCUAAGUAUGCUCCUUGUCUGUAGUUAGAUCACAGCUAUAUUUGAAUCAUAGUUACGUAUUUCCAUUUUUUUUCCUGAGCUGUAUUUUAAGUCACUGUCUUUUAAAUAAAAACCUUCAUCUUUAAC
rnacentral:lncRNA from 1 species